GACGAACGCUGGCGGCGUGCUUAAUACAUGCAAGUCAACUGAACUUAGGAUAGCAAUAUUUUAAGGGAGGUGGCGCACGGGUGAGUAACACGUAGGUAAUCUGCCUUUAGGUCUGACAUAACCUACCGAAAGGUAGGCUAAAAUCAGAUGAUGCAGCGGCUCGACAUCGAGACAGUUGUUAAAUCUUCGGAGCCUAAAGAUGAGCCUGCGUCUGAUUAGGUAGUUGGCGGUGUAAUGGACCACCAAGCCUGCGAUCAGUAGCUGGUCUGAGAGGAUGAUCAGCCACACUGGAACUGAGACACGGUCCAGACUCCUACGGGAGGCAGCAGUAAGGAAUAUUGCUCAAUGGCCGAAAGGCUGAAGCAGCAACGCCGCGUGGAGGAUGAAAUACUUUGUAUGUAAACUCCUGUAAGAAGGGAAAAUGUUCGAUUCAUCGGAAUUGAUUGUAACCUUCAGAGUAAG
rnacentral:rRNA from 1 species